AUCAUCGGGGAAGGUCGGAGCUGUACUUGGUUCUGCUGUUCUACAUUCUUAAUUUCAUUUGGUUCAGGUCUCUCUCUCUCUGUGUUUUUCUUUGAUACACAAUUUCAGCUCUCUCUCCCUCCAUUCCUUUCCCUAAAUUAUCUAUUCAACACCUGAGAUUAACAGCUCUAUCAUAGAUUGAUGGUUAAUCUGUAUCUUAAGCAAUAGCUAUCAAGAAUAAUACAAGGCCAGCAGCUCCAAAAUCUCUUAUUUCACGAGAUUAAUCCAAUAUAGAUCUGGAUGAAUGACAUAUGUAUCAGAUGAAAAGCAUUCCUAGUUCAA
rnacentral:misc_RNA from 1 species